GAUGAACGCUGGCGGCGUGCCUAAUACAUGCGAGUCGAGCGAACAGACGAGGAGCUUGCUCCUCUGACGUUAGCGGCGGACGGGUGAGUAACACGUGGAUAACCUACCUAUAAGACUGGGAUAACUUCGGGAAACCGGAGCUAAUACCGGAUAAUAUAUUGAACCGCAUGGUUCAAUAGUGAAAGACGGUUUUGCUGUCACUUAUAGAUGGAUCCGCGCCGCAUUAGCUAGUUGGUAAGGUAACGGCUUACCAAGGCAACGAUGCGUACCCGACCUGAGAGGGUGAUCGGCCACACUGGAACUGAGACACGGUCCAGACUCCUACGGGAGGCAGCAGUAGGGAAUCUUCCGCAAUGGGCGAAAGCCUGACGGAGCAACGCCGCGUGAGUGAUGAAGGUCUUCGGAUCGUAAAACUCUGUUAUUAGGGAAGAACAAAUGUGUAAGUAACUAUGCACGUCUUGACGGUACCUAAUCAGAAAGCCACGGCUAACUACGUG
rnacentral:rRNA from 1 species